UAACACUACUUGUGAGUUACUCGUCCAC
rnacentral:sRNA from 1 species